GACAGAGGGUGCAAGCGUUGUUCGGAAUUACUGGGCGUAAAGGGCGUGUAGGCGGUGAAGUAUGUCCGGUGUGAAAGCCCUCGGCUUAACCGGGGAAGUGCAUCGGAAACUACUUUGCUAGAGUGCGAGAGAGGGUGGCGGAAUUCCCGGUGUAGAGGUGAAAUUCGUAGAUACCGGGAGGAACACCAGAGGCGAAGGCGGCCACCUGGCUCGUAACUGACGCUGAGACGCGACAGCGUGGGGAGCAAACAGG
rnacentral:rRNA from 1 species